AGAGUUUGAUCAUGGCUCAGAAUCAACGCUGGCGGCGCGCUUAACACAUGCAAGUCGCACGAGAAAGCAGGAGCAAUCUUGUGAGUACAGUGGCGUACGGGUGAGUAACACGUGGAUCAUCUACCUUUUAGUGGGGAAUACCUCCUGGAAACGGGAGACAAUACCGCAUAAGCCCGCAAGGGGAAAGCAGCAAUGCGCUGAAAGAGGAGUCCGCGGCCGAUUAGCUAGUUGGCGGGGUAACGGCCCACCAAGGCGAAGAUCGGUAGCCGGCCUGAGAGGGCUCACGGCCACACUGGCACUGAAACACGGGCCAGACUCCUACGGGAGGCAGCAGUGGGGAAUCUUGCACAAUGGGGGAAACCCUGAUGCAGCGACGCCGCGUGAGCGAUGAAGCCCUUCGGGGUGUAAAGCUCUUUCGACGGGAACGAUAAUGACGGUACCCGAAGAAGAAGCUGCGGCUAACUACGUGCCAGCAGCCGCGGUAAUACGUAGGCAGCAAGCGUUGUUCGGAAUUACUGGGCGUAAAGAGUGUGUAGGCGGUGCUCUAAGUCUGUCGUGAAAUCUCCCGGCUUAACUGGGAGGGUGCGGCGGAAACUGGAGUGCUCGAGGGUGGGAGAGGAAAGCGGAAUUCCUGGUGUAGCGGUGAAAUGCGUAGAUAUCAGGAGGAACACCUGCGGUGUAGACAGCUUUCUGGACCACUUCUGACGCUGAGACACGAAAGCGUGGGUAGCAAACAGGAUUAGAUACCCUAGUAGUCC
rnacentral:rRNA from 1 species